rnacentral:tRNA from 1 species
GGCCCCGUGGUGUAGCGGCCCAACACACUUCCCUGUCAAGGAAGAGAUCGGCGGUUCGAAUCCGCUCGGGGUCGCCA